ACAGCUGGAUGAGGCCUUAGUGACCAUGUGGUCCUACAACCACUUCCCUUUUACAGUUUUAAGGAGAGAGAGAGAGAGAGAGAGAGAGAGAGAGAGAGAAAGUAACUGAUAUCAGGCCACACAGUAACCCAGGUGUGGAGCCAUGAUGAGAACCCCACCACUUUCCCAUUGGGACAGGACACAUGCUGUCUCCCUGCAUUGGCUCCUUGAUCCCUAGCCCGCUUCUGUCUUUGCCCUUAGACUCCAUCUUGGUGUCUACCUUGAUCUUCCAGUGUGAGCCUUUUCUAACCACCUGUGCUCCAAAGACUCAGCCUCCACCCAGUCAUCAUCCAGCAGAAUAAGUGCUGCAGUGGGCAGGCUUACAAUUCCUCCUUCCCUGGGUUCCAUCUGUGAUGCACUCUUCAGACAGCAUCAUCAUAAUGCUCAAUUCAACCAGGAAACAAUUGGAAAACUUCAAACAGCAUAUGUAAUAAGCAAGUACAAGAGAGAAAACUAUGAAAACAAAGAUUCCAUCAGCUUCCCAGGGAAGGGAUUUCUUAACACGUCACACAGGAGCCCUUCCAUCCAGGUAUCCAUACGUAACUAGAAGGGUUUUUAGCUCUGGAUUUUGUGAAGAAAACACAGGUAUUUGCUGAGAAUGA